GCCGAGGUAGCCAAGCGGCCUACGGCGCCGGUCUUGAAAACCGGUGGCGCUUUGCGCCACGGGAGUUCAAAUCUCCCCCUCGGCG
rnacentral:tRNA from 1 species